rnacentral:tRNA from 1 species
GGCUUGAUAGCUCAGUUGGUAGAGCAGAGGAUUGAAAAUCCUUGUGUCCCCAGUUCAAAUCUGGGUCGAGCCA